CAAUAGCGUAUAUUAAAGUUGUUGCAGUUAAAAAGCUCGUAGUUGGAUUUCUGGCAGGAGCGACCGGUCACACACUCUGUGUGUGAACUUGCGUUGUCUCUGGCCAUCCUUGGGAAGAUCCUGUUUGGCAUUAAGUUGUCGGGCAGGGGAUACCCAUCGUUUACUGUGAAAAAAUUAGAGUGUUUAAAGCAGGCUUAUGCCGUUGAAUAUAUUAGCAUGGAAUAAUAAGAUAGGACUUCGGAACUAUUUUGUUGGUUUGCGUUACGAAGUAAUGAUUAAUAGGGACAGUUGGGGGUAUUCGUAUUUCGUUGUCAGAGGUGAAAUUCUUGGAUUUCCGAAAGACGAACUACUGCGAAAGCAUUUACCAAGGAUGUUUUCAUUAG
rnacentral:rRNA from 1 species